GACGAACCGAGCGAACGUUGUUCGGAAUCACUGGGCUUAAAGGGCGCGUAGGCGGGCCGUCAAGUCAAGGGUGAAAGCCCCCGGCUCAACCGGGGAAGUGCCUCUGAUACUGGCGGCCUCGAGGGAGGUAGGGGCGUGCGGAACUUCCGGUGGAGCGGUGAAAUGCGUAGAUAUCUGGAGGAACACCGGUGGCGAAGGCGGCAUCCUGGACCAAUACUGACGCUGAGGAGCGAAAGCCAGGGGAGCAAACGGG
rnacentral:rRNA from 1 species